CUGUCCUACGGGGGGCAGCAGUGGGGAAUAUUGCACAAUGGGGGAAACCCUGAUGCAGCGACGCCGCGUGAGUGAAGAAGUAUUUCGGUAUGUAAAGCUCUAUCAGCAGGGAAGAAAAUGACGGUACCUGACUAAGAAGCCCCGGCUAACUACGUGCCAGCAGCCGCGGUAAUACGUAGGGGGCAAGCGUUAUCCGGAUUUACUGGGUGUAAAGGGAGCGUAGACGGCGGAACAAGUCAGAAGUGAAAACCCGGGGCUCA
rnacentral:rRNA from 1 species